AACUGAUACUACCUGCGGGAACCUGCGGAAGGAUCAUUACCGAGCUCGUGCCCUUCGGGGCAGAUCUCCCACCCGAUGUCAUGACUACGAUGUUGCUUUGGCGGGCCGCCGGGCCCUGCCCGCCAGAGGUCUCCUAGACUCUGAAUAUUAGUGUCGUCCGAGUAUCACAGAAUAGUCAAAACUUUCAACAACGGAUCUCU
rnacentral:misc_RNA from 1 species